rnacentral:rRNA from 1 species
UACGUAGGGGGCAAGCGUUGUCCGGAUUUAUUGGGCGUAAAGAGCGUGUAGGCGGCCAGGUAGGUCCGUUGUGAAAACUCGAGGCUCAACCUCGAGACGCCGAUGGAAACCAUCUGGCUAGAGUCCGGAAGAGGAGAGUGGAACUCCUGGUGUAGCGGUGGAAUGCGCAGAUAUCAGGAAGAACACCGACGGCGAAGGCAGCUCGCUGGGACGGUACUGACGCUGAGGCGCGAAAGCGUGGGGAGCGAACAGG